UACGGAGGGGGCUAGCGUUGUUCGGAAUUACUGGGCGUAAAGCGCACGUAGGCGGCUUUGUAAGUUAGAGGUGAAAGCCCGGGGCUCAACUCCGGAAUUGCCUUUAAGACUGCAUCGCUAGAAUUGUGGAGAGGUAAGUGGAAUUCCGAGUGUAGAGGUGAAAUUCGUAGAUAUUCGGAAGAACACCGGUGGCGAAGGCGACUUACUGGACACAUAUUGACGCUGAGGCUCGAAAGCAUGGGGAGCAAACAGG
rnacentral:rRNA from 1 species